AUUUUUUGUAUUCUCAGUUGAAACGAGGUUUCACCAUAUUGGCCAGGCUGGUCUCGAACUUCUGACCUCAGGUGAUGCACCCCCCGCGUCCUCCAAAAGUGCUGGGAUUACAAGUGUGAGCCACCGCGCCCGGCCCAGUUGUGGACUUUAACAGAGGGAAGCUUUAAACAUGUUUAACCACAGGCCCAAUUUGAACAAAGAUACUUCAAUCAUUAUAGAGAGGAAAACAGUACUUUUUGUUCAAAUGUGCAAACUCUCCAAGUAUCUAAUGGAGAAGUAGAGAGGAACCCUAAUGAAACUGAGUGUGAAUGAGGCUCAGCUAGGCUUUUACUUGGGUUCACUUUCUCAUCUGUCUGUAUGUCCCAGGAUUGACCCUCGCUCCUCUGAAGACCAGCCUGAAAGCCUUAAAACUGGUCAGAUGAUGGAUGAGUCUGAUGAGGACUUUAAAGAACUCUGUGCUAGCUUUUUCCAAAGAGUGAAAAAACAUGGAAUCAAGGAAGUGUCAGGAGAAAGGAAGACACAAAAGGCCGCCUCAAACGGCACUCAGAUAAGAAGCAAAUUGAAAAGGACCAAACAAACUGCUACCAAGACCAAAACCCUUCAAGGCCCUGCAGAGAAGAAACCUUCAUCUGGCAGCCAGGCCCCUAGGACUAAAAAGCAAGGGGUAACCAAAUGGCAAGCAAGUGAACCGGCCCUCUCUGUGAAUGGGGAGGGGGGUGUGCUUGCCUCUGCUGCAGAUCCGCCUGUGCUCUGGGAAACAGCACAAAACACCCAGACGGGUAACCGGCAAGAACCAUCGCCAAACCUUUCCAGAGAGAAAACCAGAGAGAAUGUGCCCAACAGCGACUCCCAGCCUCCUCCUUCCUGUUUGACAACAGCAGUGCCAAGUCCCUCCAAACCCCGCACAGCACAAUUGGUCCUACAGCGAAUGCAGCAGUUCAAGAGAGCAGACCCCGAGCGUUUGAGACACGCUUCAGAAGAGUGCUCCCUUGAGGCUGUGCAGGAAGAAAAUGUCCCAAAGAAUCCUCAAGAGGAGAUGAUGGCAGGGAAUGUGUAUGGGCUUGGGCCCCCUGCCCCAGAGAGCGACGCUGCGGCGGCCUUGACCCUGCAGCAGGAGUUUGCACGGGUAGGAGCAUCGGCACGUGAUGAUAGCCUGGAGGAAAAGGGUUUGUUCUUCUGCCAGAUUUGUCAAAAGAACCUCUCAGCCAUGAACGUGACCCGAAGGGAACAGCAUGUGAACAGGUGGGGGCACCUUGGGCCGUCACCUCUCCCGUGUACGUGACCAAAAUCCCUAGGCACCCCAGGGCUGGAGUGCGGAUCACCACACCUUACCGUGACAACAGCACCUCAGCUUUGUUGUCAACCUACCCCUUUUUAAAAAUAACUUUGUUGAGAUACAAUUCACAGAACAUAUAGUUCACCCAUUUAAACUGAACAAAUCACUACUUUUGGGAUAUUCACACAGUUGGGCAACUGUCACCACAAUCACUUCUGGAUUAUUUUCAUCACCCCCAAAAGAAUCCCCACACCCAUUGGCAGCCACUCCCUAUUGCCCCUCUCUCCCCUGACAACCACUAAUCAACUUUCUGUCUGGAUGGACUUGCCGAUUCUGAAAUUGCACAGUUGUCCUUUUGUGUCUACCUUCUUUGACUUAAUAUGUUGUUUUUGAGGUUCAUCCAUGUUGUAGCAUGGAGCAGGCUUCAUUCCUUUUUAUGGCUGAGCAGUAUCUCAUUGUAUGGAUAGACUGUGUUUUUCCCAUUCUUAGAUGAGGAAUAUGACCCUGGUUUAUCCUUUCAUCCAUUGGCGGACAUUUGGAGCAUUUCUACCCUUUGGGAUUGUGGAUAGAGCUGCUGUGAACAUGGGUUUCAUGUAUUUGUUUGGGUACCUGCUUUCAGUUCUUUGGGGUCUCUACUUAGGAGUGGAAUUUCUAAGUCAUCAUGUAACUGCAUUUAAUCUUUCCUUGCUUUCUUUAGCCAACUUUGCUGACAGAUACCUAAGUGUAGUGUCUAGGGGCUGACUGCCGAGAGACAGAACCAGGCUGUGUGGAGGGUAUUGGCUCUGGGGAACUUGCUUUGACCACAGCACAUCCAUGUUGACCUGGACCCACAUUUGCUCCAAUCCACAUUCCCGGGGAGGGUGGUUCUCCUGUAUUGACUGUUUUCCUUCAGGUGCUUGGAUGAAACUGAAAAGACACUAAGACCUUCCGUGCCUCAGAUCCCUGAGUGCCCGAUUUGUGGGAAACCGUUUCUUACCUUAAAGAGCAGAACCAGUCACUUGAAGCAGUGUGCUGUGAAGAUGGAGGUUGGCCCCCAGCUCCUGCUGCAGGCUGUGCGGCUGCAGACAGCACAGCCCGAGGGGAGCAGCAGCCCGCCCGUGUUCAGCUUCAGUGAUCACAGUAGAGGUCUGAAACGGAGAGGACCCACCAGCAAGAAGGGGCCAAGGAAGAGGCGGAAGGUGGACGAGGCACCGUCCAAGGACCUGCUGGUGGCCAUGGCUCUGUCCCGGUCGGAGAUGGAGCCAGGUGCGGCUGUGCCAGCGCUCAGGCUGGAAAGUGCCUUUUCUGAGAGGAUAAGACCAGAAGCAGAGAAGAAAAGUCGCAAGAAGAAACCCCCGGUGUCCCCCCCAUUGUUGUUAGUCCAGGACUCUGAAACCACAGGCCGACAGAUAGAGGACCGUGUGGCCCUGCUCCUCUCUGAGGAAGUGGAAUUGUCUAGCACACCACCACUUCCUGCCAGCAGGAUUUUAAAGGAAGGGUGGGAAAGAGCGGGCCAGUGUCCUCCUCCACCUGAACGCAAGCAGAGCUUUCUGUGGGAGGGCAGCGCACUGACUGGGGCCUGGGCCAUGGAGGCCUUCUACACGGCCAGGCUGGUCCCUCCUCUUGUGCCCCAGCGGCCUGCCCAGGGCCUCAUGCAGGAGCCCGUGCCGCCUCUGGUGCCACCUGAGCACUCAGAGCUGGGUGAGCGAAGGUCACCUGCUCUCCACGGCACCCCCACUGCAGGCUGUGGCUCCAGGGGCCCGUCGCCUUCGGCCAGCCAGAGGGAGCACCAGGCCCUGCAGGACCUCGUGGACCUGGCGAGGGAGGGACUGAGCGCCAGCCCGUGGCCCGGCAGUGGGGGCCUGGCUGGCUCAGAAGGGACUGCAGGGUUGGACGUGGUGCCCAGCGGCCUUCCUCUGACUGGGUUUGUGGUGUCAUCGCAGGACAAGCACCUGGACAGGGGCGGCCGC
rnacentral:sRNA from 1 species